rnacentral:rRNA from 1 species
AUUGAACGCUGGCGGCAUGCCUUACACAUGCAAGUCGAACGGCAGCACGGGAGCGAUCCUGGUGGCGAGUGGCGAACGGGUGAGUAAUAUAUCGGAACGUGCCCAGUCGUGGGGGAUAACGUAGCGAAAGCUACGCUAAUACCGCAUACGAUCUAUGGAUGAAAGCGGGGGAUCGCAAGACCUCGCGCGAUUGGAGCGGCCGAUAUCAGAUUAGGUAGUUGGUGAGGUAAAGGCUCACCAAGCCGACGAUCUGUAGCUGGUCUGAGAGGACGACCAGCCACACUGGGACUGAGACACGGCCCAGACUCCUACGGGAGGCAGCAGUGGGGAAUUUUUGGACAAUGGGCGCAAGCCUGAUCCAGCAAUGCCGCGUGCAGGAUGAAGGCCUCGGUUGUUAACGUUA